rnacentral:lncRNA from 1 species
CCUGCAUGACCUUAUAGACUGCCUUGAGAAGAACCGGGAUGAAACACACGCAGUGGAGCAGGCUUGCACGGAAGAGCAGAAGGAGCUAGCUGCUGCCAGGACAGACGGGGCAGGAGGCAACGCGGCCAGGGGGACAGCGGCACCGCGGAGCUGCUGGAAUUUUCAGUACUUGAGAAUGGGCGCUAGAGAAUGAAAUCCUACCACACAUUUAUCUACAGAUCAGUGUUAAAUGGUUCUGAUCUUCACCUUCAAGUGCUGACAACUGAAGGCCUGAGUGUAUGAAUAAAUUAUCAUCAGGUAAGCUUUUCUGUGGACUU